GAUGAACGCUGGCGGUAUGCUUAACACAUGCAAGUCGUACGAAGCUUGCUAGGUCACUUGUGACUUGGCGAGACUGAGUGGCGGACGGGUGAGUAACACGUAAGAAUCUACCUUUUGGAGAGGGACAACCACUGGAAACGGUGGCUAAUACCUCAUAUGCUGAGAAGUGAAAUGAUGAAUAAUCGCCAAGAGAUGAGCUUGCGGCUGAUUAGCUUGUUGGUGAGGUAAAGGCUCACCAAGGCCAUGAUCAGUAGCUGGUCUGAGAGGAUGAGCAGCCACACUGGGACUGAGACACGGCCCAGACUCCUACGGGAGGCAG
rnacentral:rRNA from 1 species